UACAGAGGGUGCGAGCGUUAAUCGGAAUUACUGGGCGUAAAGCGUGCGCAGGCGGUUUUUUAAGCUUGAUGUGAAAUCCCCGGGCUUAACCUGGGAACUGCGCUUGUUACUGGCAGGCUUGAGUGUGGCAGAGGGGGGUGGAAUUCCACGUGUAGCAGUGAAAUGCGUAGAGAUGUGGAGGAACACCGAUGGCGAAGGCAGCCCCCUGGGCUAACACUGACGCUCAUGCACGAAAGCGUGGGGAGCAAACAGG
rnacentral:rRNA from 1 species